GACAGAGGGUGCAAACGUUGUUCGGAAUUACUGGGCGUAAAGCGUGCGUAGGCGGCGGGGUAAGUCGGGUGUGAAAUCUCAGGGCUCAACCCUGAAAUUGCAUUCGAUACUACUCUGCUUGAGCUCUGAAGAGGAGGUUGGAAUUUACGGUGUAGCAGUGAAAUGCGUAGAUAUCGUAAGGAAGGCCGGUGGCGAAAGCGAACCUCUGGGCAGCAGCUGACGCUGUGGCACGAAGGCUAGGGGAGCAAACGGG
rnacentral:rRNA from 1 species